rnacentral:rRNA from 1 species
UACGUAGGGUGCGAGCGUUGUCCGGAAUUACUGGGCGUAAAGAGCUCGUAGGUGGUUUGUCGCGUUGUUCGUGAAAACUCACAGCUUAACUGUGGGCGUGCGGGCGAUACGGGCAGACUGGAGUACUGCAGGGGAGACUGGAAUUCCUGGUGUAGCGGUGAAAUGCGCAGAUAUCAGGAGGAACACCGGUGGCGAAGGCGGGUCUCUGGGCCGAUACUGACGCUCAUGCACGAAAGCGUGGGGAGCAAACAGG